rnacentral:lncRNA from 1 species
AUAGUCCAUGCUCAAGAUCGAAUGGCAUCUCUCAGACUGGAAAACCUUUCUGAAGUCAGUUCCAGACAUCCCUGGAAGCCUGGAUAAUUUGGGAAAAGGCUGACUCAAUGUAAGAAAGACUUCCCUGGCCAGGUGCCAUCCCUCGGUGCUUCCACGGUUACUGACGCGUGUAUUCUCCACAGCAAUUACAACUGGAUCAAAAUCAUGGAUCCACAUGCCCGUUUCACCCACUAGACUGUGACGUCAGAGUCGGUGACAUUGCCUUCAACAUCUCCGUAUGCUCAUUACCCAGGAUGGUGCUUUCUACAGAAGGUCCUCAAUCCAUCCUCCUUGAAAUGAAUGGAAACCAACCGGCGUGUGUAAUGAAUGGUUCCAAAAGAGAAUGCUCGAGGAGUGCAGCUUGGGAUGCUAGGAACACACUCCGGUCUGGAGCCCAGCUCACUCCCUGGUUCAUGGUGGAUGUCCAAAAAUAGGCAUGAAAACGAGUGAAGCGAGAAUAUGUACUUCUCAAUUCUCAAGUUAUUAUUGGUGACACCCACCACCUAGUACCAGACCUCAGGAGGCUGAGAU